rnacentral:rRNA from 1 species
GGAUGCGAUCAUACCAGCACUAAAGCAUCGGAUCCGAUCAGAACUCCGAAGUUAAGCGUGCUUGGGCGAGAGUAGUACUAGGAUGGGUGACCUCCUGGGAAGUCCUCGUGUUGCAUUCCC